UCAGUAAUUUAAGGCUCCCCUCUGAGGUGCCAGAGCUCCUCUACGGAGCCGGGGUAACUACUCCACCUCUUGGGAUCCUGGGGCUUCGCAAGCAAGCAAACAAAAUCACCAAAGGUCUUCUAAGAACAGAAAGACCACAGCGUUAGAAGCUACAGAAGGCUAAAUGCGUAAAGAACCAUAAAGGACCUCCAGAGCGCACGAUACCCUGGGAUGCAGGGAAGCCCACUGAUAAGGACACUGGCAAUUUCCACGGGCGUGUUCCUCAGAUUGGAUUAUCCAGGGACCAUUCCACUGAAACUGCAACCAAAGCUGCCUGUGGCCUCACUUUCCUGCCCAAGUGUGACUGCAGUCUGUUCUAUUUGCAGGUCACCACAGACCCGUUUCCCAAGCCAGUGAAAAACCACACUAUGCCACAGAUGGAUUUUAAAGGAUGGAUCUUUUUUCCAACAUGUGGCUUCCUGUAAUUUAAGGAAAUGUUAUACAUGAACAAUUAAAAUCAUAUAUCAAAAAAGAC